CGUUAUAAUAUCCCCUCCAGUCCAACAUAAAAGAUCUUAUUACACACAGAGUCCGGCUCAGAGAGGAAAACCCAUGCCAGAGAUCUGUUUGCUUCGUUAGGCAUCACUUUUGUUGUUUGUUCCCAAAUUAACUCCACUUAGUCACCCUUGAAAAAAUAUCUCAUGACAUGACACUGCUGGUUCAGUCCAAGAAAAACGAAGAUGUGGAUGAAAGGGCACGUGUCUAGUUCAGAGGAAGGUUUAACAACAAGUUCUGUUAUCCACACAUGCCAAGGCUCCCAAGCUCGUGUGGGAGUCAAAUGUAUCUGGCCCAUGCUUCCUGCCUGCAUACUCUGGCCUCCUGCAUUGAGAAGCUCCCCUCACCUCUACCGCUGGCUGCUGCGGUGCUGGGCAGCAGACCGAGUCCUCUUCUCCUUUGGAGCAACUGACUGAGCGCAUUGUGCACUGCCUCUGCUCCUCCCUUGCACACCUCCCACACUAGGCCUGGAUGCAAGGCAGGCAGAAGUCGGAGAAGCACUGCUCCAUCACUGGGGUGGAAGAAGAGUAUCAUCUGGCCCUGGAGCAACAAGUAAACUACCCUAGAGCCACAGGAGGAAGGCAAUCCGGUCCUCCAGGAGAAACAAAAAUAACCAGCAAUUUGAGUGGAAGGAGCGAGAAAAGGAAACCUUUGAAGGGAAGAGAUGGUGGAAGUGCCACAAAAACAGUGGAGAGGAGAGUAGGUUUGCUGUCCGCCCACAUGAGAUUGGAGAGUUUUGAAUACUUCGAUAAGACACACCAAUGACAUUUAGAAGACAUGGUACAACCAUCCAUCCCAAGGAAGGAUUCCUCGCAAAAACAUGGUGGUACCACUGCGGAUGGGACACCUUAAAGCUAGCAGACACUUAACGCAGUCUCUGCCUUUCUGUGCUCUGGAUCAGACAACUGCACGCGUCUCCCCAGCAAGUAAAGACAACACUGUGCAGACGAGGCACUGCCUGCUUAGCUGUUCACUGCCCUAGGAAAAGCAGGUUGUUAGUUAAUAAGUUUCACCUGGAUAACUAUUUCUGCUGGCCUCACAAAGCAUUUUCUUUGUUAACACAAGGAAAACAGCUCCCUGCUGCCAAGUGGGGCAGCAGUACAGAAUAGGACAGCGUGAUCUCCGCUUUCAGUUACAGAGUUUUCUAUUCACACUACCUGAACCUGCAUGUUAACCCCCUUCCAUGCCCUAUGUGGGGCAUUUACCAAAAAUGUCCCAGGUUUUACAAAGGCUAUCAUUCAGCUUUUACUGAUUUUCACUGGAAUUUUGAACCACUUAAAUACAAAACAAAGUGCCAGAACUCCCCGAACCCAGCUCCCCACUUUGGAAGGAGACAGUAGCUCACUAAUCUAGGCCACCCAGGUUACUGAGCUGCCACCUCAUCUUCCAGAGCGGGGAGCUGGGUCAGAAGUAUUCUUAUAUUUCUCUGUUGUUGUUUUCUAUCCUCCUGUCCCCCAAUAUUUACCCAGAAUACUAUUAAGUUCUUUUUUUAACCGAUUUUCACCCAUUUUUUAUUUCUUUUUAAACCAACGCCGAUAAAUUCUCAGGAAAUUUUAAAAUAAAACCUGAAAACAAAAGGCCUUACCUAGGUGCUCCCAGCAGGCUGUUAAGCAACACUGCCUCAGGGGUUUCAGCACUGCAGCCAUUAAGCCUUUGUGUUACACCUUUGUUUCCCCUGAAUAGACACUUGUAUGCAAUGGAUAUUAAACCUUUACCAACUUUCCGCUACA